rnacentral:rRNA from 1 species
GAUGAACGCUGGCGGCGUGCCUAAUACAUGCAAGUCGAGCGGACGGACGAGAAGCUUGCGCCUCUGAUGUUGGCGGCGGACGGGUGAGUAACACGUGGAUAACCUACCUAUAAGACUGGGAUAACUUCGGGAAACAGUAGCUAAUACCGGAGAAUAUUUUGAACCGCAUGGUUCAAAAGUGAAAGACGGUCUUGCUGUCACUUAUAGAUGGAUCCGCGCUGCAUUAGCUAGUUGGUAAGGUAACGGCUUACCAAGGCAACGAUGCAUAGCCGACCUGAGAGGGUGAUCGGCCACACUGGAACUGAGACACGGUCCAGACUCCUACGGGAGGCAGCAGGAGGGAAUUUUCCGCAAUGGGCGAAAGCCUGACGGAGCAACGCCGCGUGAGUUAUGAAGGUCUUCGGAUCGUAAAACUCUGUUAUUAGGGAAGAACAUAUGUGUAAGUAACUGUGCGCAUCUUGACGGUAACUAAUCAGAAAGCCACGGCUAACUACGUU